UUGACCUCGAAUCAGGUAGGGAUACCCGCUGAACUUAAGCAUAUCAAUAAGCGA
rnacentral:rRNA from 1 species